GGAUUCCCUUAGUAACGGCGAGUGAACAGGGAACAGCCCAGUACCGAAGCCUAUGCACGCUUGUGUAUAAGGCAAUGUGGUAUUAAGAUGGUUGCCUGGAGCGGUCGGUCUAUUCUAAGUCCAGCAUAGAUUAUGGCUCUGGAUCUUGUCCAUAGCGGGUGAAAGACCCGUUUGAAUAGACUGUCAGGCAUGUUGACCGUUCUCAGAUGCAAUUAUCGUGGAGUCGGAUAGCUUGAGAAUGCUGUCCAAAGUGGGUGGUAAACUCCAUCCAAGGCUAAAUAUUUGCACGAAUCCGAUAGCUAACAAGUACCGUGAGGGAAAGUUGAAAAGUACUCUGAAGAGAGAGUAAAUAGUACGUGAAGCCGCAUGUAGGGAAGCUGGUGGAGUCAAGCUGCAUGCCUUUAGAAUGAAGCCAGUGACUGUUGUUCACAUGGUGGAGGUGGUUCAUUGAUUACCUUGUAAGAAGGUAGACAGACUUGUCUGUUUCCGGUGGUCACUGGUCAGUGGCUCGGAGUCGGUGGACUUGUCCUCCAUGUUGCUGGCGUACUUUCUUCAUGGCAGGCACCACGAUCGACAAUGUUGUUGGCGUGUCGCAGUCAAACCAUGAGGUUUUGGGUUCUGAAUCCAUUCCUUAUGGGAUGGCAGGUGACCUGUCGUUCGGUACUUGUACUGUUCGGUGGGUUUUUUGCGGUUGCGGCCGGCCGAUUGCGAUGCAUUCAGCUAUACAAUUUGUCGUUGCUCAUUGUUGCCAGUGUGUAUUGUGCUCGUUUCACUGUUCAGUCUGGUUGGUUUCCUCAUCUGAUGGUGCCAGCCAGCCACUGGACUGUGUGAAUGGGUUACGAUCCGCCUGGCCAUGAAUCGUGGUGUUGUGGUAGAC
rnacentral:rRNA from 1 species